rnacentral:ncRNA from 1 species
AAUAGCCACUAGGGGAGCUCCGACUUGCGGGGCUGAGAAAAAGAAGCGUGUUCUUUGACCCUUGGAACCUGUUUUGAAGUCUGCGUACAGCAGGCAUCACUGGAUUAUACCAGCGUAGGGAAGUGGACGAAUGCCAGC